AUGCAAAAAGUUCUAAAAAUUAUCAAAAUGCUCUUUAUUGAAGUUUUUUCUUUUUCCACUGACCCAUGGGAUGUAUUAAAAGUGGACAAAUGGGCCUAUUUCCUGAUAGGAAGAGUAACCAAGAAGACCAUCUGCAAGAACAAGGGUGUGAGGUCAAAUUCCAAUAAAAUAAUGCAAAGAGAGAAACCCUCACCUAAAUCUCUGUCUAAAUCAUGUAUCAUCAAUCAUCAAUCGACACUGCGCUGGGUACUAGCUUGUGUGCUGCGCCUUUUGAGGAUUCAGAGAGUAUGGGAUAUAAAGGAAUGUCAAGGGAUUUGGAGGACCAUGUCUCACAUCCAGCUCACUAAGGGCACAUGUUCCAAGAUUCCCAGUGGAUGUACGAAACAAAGGACUAUAUCAAACCUAUCCAAAUGAUUUUUCUUAUACUUACACAUUUACGUGUAACUGACUUGAAGAUUCAGAUGCUCCAUUCCAGUUUCAAUCUAAGGCUGGGCAUGGUGGUGCACACCUGGAAUCCCAGCACUCAGGAGGCUGAAGCAGGAGGACUGUUGCAAAUUCAAGGCCAGCCUGGGCUAGAAAAUGAGCUCAAGGCCAGCCUGAACUGCAUAGUGAGACCCUGCCUCAAAAAAAAAAAAAAAAAUAAAUCUAGGAAAUGUUAUUUCAUGUGGUAUUUUUAGUAUUUUCAUUCUUAUUCAAUUUUCAAAACUUGUUUUUUGGUUUUGACUAUGUAACAGUUCCAAGAAACAAUGUUUUUGUUUUGGCUCUGUAGUUAGUAUUAUGUGGAAUGCGAAACAAAACAGACUAAGAACAAAGCUAUCUCUAGUUCACCUUCCCUACAACUUUUCCAAAUUCACUCUCACUGGGUAACAAAUGGAUCAUUCCUCUGUGUACACAAACACAUAGACCAAU
rnacentral:lncRNA from 1 species